rnacentral:rRNA from 1 species
UACGUAGGGUGCGAGCGUUGUCCGGAAUCACUGGGCGUAAAGGGCGUGUAGGCGGUCAAGUUAGUGGGACGUGAAAUGCCUCGGCUCACCCGAGGACCUGCGUCCCAAACUGCUUGGCUUGAGUAUGGGAGAGGAUGUGGGAAUUCCUGGUGUAGCGGUGAAAUGCGUAGAUAUCAGGAGGAACACCGGUGGCGAAGGCGCACAUCUGGCCCAAUACUGACGCUGAGGCGCGAAAGCUAGGGGAGCAAACGGG